CAGAGUGAGGAAGGGGGUGACCAGUGACAGAGGGAGGGGUGACUAGGGACAGAGUGAGGGAGGUGGUGACUAGUGACUUGUGACAGUCACCACCUCCCUCACUCUGUCACUAGUCACCACCUCCCUCACUCUGUCACCUGUCAUCCCCUCACUCUGUCACUAGUCACCCCUUCCCUCACUCUGU